CUUUUACUUGGCGAGGGGUAUUGUCGAAUUACCCUAUUGCACCGUCUAAUUCGAUGGUAAGGGA
rnacentral:tRNA from 1 species